AGCGAACGCUGGCGGCAGGCUUAACACAUGCAAGUCGAGCGGGCACCUUCGGGUGUCAGCGGCAGACGGGUGAGUAGCACGUGGGAACGUACCCUUCGGUUCGGAAUAACGCUGGGAAACUAGCGCUAAUACCGGAUACGCCCUUAUGGGGAAAGGUUUACUGCCGAAGGAUCGGCCCGCGUCUGAUUAGCUAGUUGGUGGGGUAACGGCCUACCAAGGCGACGAUCAGUAGCUGGUCUGAGAGGAUGAUCAGCCACACUGGGACUGAGACACGGCCCAGACUCCUACGGGAGGCAGCAGUGGGGAAUAUUGGACAAUGGGCGCAAGCCUGAUCCAGCCAUGCCGCGUGAGUGAUGAAGGCCUUAGGGUUGUAAAGCUCUUUUGUCCGGGACGAUAAUGACGGUACCGGAAGAAUAAGCCCCGGCUAACUUCGUG
rnacentral:rRNA from 1 species